AGUGCUUUACGUUUGUUACAUACGCAGUUGAUCGUGGUACUUGGCGGACGUUAGUUUGGUCGUUUGGUUCAUCGUGUCCUCGUUUCCGAAUACUCGUUCUCCUAUAAACGGUUAUCGCGAUUACUCGCGUAUAGUCAGUAUACGAACACCGCUGUAGGUUAAAUAGAUAACGUUGCCAGUUCUCGACAAAUACAGAAAGAGAACCGCAACAAUGACGGUCAUCACGAAAGCGAUCACCGAAAAGAAGGCUGACAAAAUGGAGCAGCCAUUGUUUGUUGAGGAAAAUGCGGCGGAUAGCUCAAAAAUGAUGUGGUCAUAUGAAAUGAUAGUUCAUUAUUUUGUUACUAGAAGAAGCAUCCAACGUAUACAUGUGACAGCAACAUUUUUGCUAUUUCUUGUUGCACUAAUGAUACUGAUUAUUGGUGUGAUCGGUGGUCUCUACAUUUAUAAACAAUAUGCGAGGACUCAGAUGCAUAGAUUCCGUACCGGCUGGUACAGUAUUCCAUAUGAUAGUUCCAACAAAGCAUCUUAUGGCAGGGAUGGAGUUCAUCAGGGACUAUUGGCUGACUCUGAUCUAUUCAAAAGUCUUACCAGAGCCACUGAGCAAGAAGCGUUGGAUAUUGCAAGACACAUAGAUCAUGAUAUUACAAAUUUCUUCAAUGAGAGAUUUGAGAUUGAUCUUGAAAAUGAGCAUUAUGAGAAGAUUGAUGUGCCUGACUUCCGCGGUGGUCGCCAAGGCCGCUUUAUACAUGAUUUUAACAUUAAUAAAACAGGCAUUAUAGAUAUUGACGGUCAAUGCUGUUUUGUCAUGCCAUUGAAUCGUCAGCGUGUAUUGCCACCUCGUAAUAUGUAUGAUCUCCUUAGAAAGAUGUAUGAUGGUUAUUAUGAAGUGGAUACUGCAAUUGUACGUGAGACCAUGAAAGUGGUCACCCCACCGAUCACUGAUCUUUCAGUCGUUGGAACAUACAUAGCACGUGAAUGCCAAAACUUACCUACCUAUAUGCUCAAGAAAGUGGAUUAUACUAUUGUAAAACGCAGCCCAUUGAGUGGGGUAUUUGGGCAGUUUGCCGGCAACAGUAUCAUGGAAGUUGACAUCGUGAAUCUACAAAACUUUGAGUGAAACUAAGAAAUUGUGCGAAGAAAGAAUUUUCAAUUAUUCUAGAAUAUUAACCACCAGUAGAUCAAUGUAUAAAUAUUAUAUGCUGUCGAGCGAACUUAGAUAUAUUCCCACCUUAUUGAGAUCAGCAUUAUGUCUUUCCAUUAUACUUUCCAUUAGCUUUAGAUCGUGAAAUCAUAUAGUAUAAGUAUUUGUUAAUAACCAGAGUCGUUUGAUGUAUCAAGGGAGUUCUUUGCAAUAUCAUAUAUAAAAGAUUAAACGUGAAUAACUAAGUCACUGAACCGAUAUGAGAAAUGGAAGACAUUCAUUUCAUAUUAAAAUAGAAUUAUCUAGACUGUUUGCAAAUUGAUUCUUAGAUGAAAGCAUUAAAUAUUUCUUCCAUAUUCUUCAAAUGCGUUAUUUAGACAGUUAAAAAUGUGAUGUUAGUUACACUAUAGUAAUAAAAUAUUUAUUACUAUUAUGGAUUUUGAUGCAGCUUGUUGACUGCAUUACGAAUAACAUCUGUGUGAGUAAUCAAUGAAGCAAAUAGAAUAGCUGCGUUAGGUCAUCAACGCUUACAAUAUGGUUUCUUAUGUUAUCAAUGAGAUUGUAAAAAUAUAUUCAUUUACAAAUUA
rnacentral:misc_RNA from 1 species